CCAGCCCCAGAGCACCAACCAGGACCCCCAACAGGACCAAGGAUCUACCCAGGGCCGGGCUCCUGAUGCUGGGUAUACACUUCUGCAGCAUGGUGGUGGUCACAUCUACGACACGAUCAAUCCCUCAGACAACAAUGUUAAUGAUGCUGCUGCUGGACCAAGUCAUGUGACAUACGCCCAGAUUCAACUCAAAAAGUUGGACAAGAAAAAGAAAGGUGACUUUCAACUGUG